UAAGUGAGCUCUGUUUCCUGUCCCCAAGCCCCUCUGUGCUUGGCUGGCUAAAUGCUCUCUGCAUCUAACUUGUUCUUUGGGUUUUUUACAGAGAUGUCUUUGCACAACCAGGAUUUAAGCAAGGACAACUGUGCUGAAGUGGGAUUGGACAGAAGGGUGUGCCCUAAUGCCAACAGACUUAGAGGGACACCCCAUAGGGCCCAUCUGUCCAGCAUCCCCUCUUCCAGGGAACAUAACAGGACCCCUUUCUUGAAUGAGGGUCUUAGAAUCUGCUGUGUGGCAAGGCAGACCAGAGAGUUUCUGGCCUACUCACACCAGGAAGGCAGGGAGUGGGUGAUUGGAGUGCACUUUUAGUUUCUAGGACCCACUGUGCGUCACUUUUCGAUAAAAUAAUAAAUAGGAAUAAAUAGGAACAAAUAUUUUGAUAUUUAUGUCAUAAUUAAACCCUUUACUUUGUAUGCCAACUUAAAAAAAAAAGAAUCACCCUGGGCCCAUGAGAUGGUUCUGUGGGUAAAGGUGCUGGUGCCAAGGCUUAGUGUAACUAAGUCGCUUAGUGGUAACUUUAGUUUGACUCCGCAGUGACCCACAUGUAGGAAGGGAAGAACCAGUUCUCGCAUACAUGCACUGCCUGCUACACAAGCGCGCACGCACAUGCAUAUAGUACUACUAAGUUCUCGCAUACAUGCACUGCCUGCUACACAAGCGCGCACGCACAUGCAUAUAGUACUACUAAGUUCUCGCAUACAUGCACUGCCUGCUACACAAGCGUGCAUGCACAUGCAUAUAGUACUACUACUAACUAUUAUUUAAGAUGUAAUUAAAAAUGAUCACUCUGAGCCAGGUGAGGGUGGCACAUAAUCCCAGCACUUGGGAGGCAGAGGCAGGCAGAUUUAUGAGUUCGAGGCCAGCCUGGUCUACAGAGUGAGUUCCAGGACAGCCAGGGCUACACAGAGAAACCCUGUCUCGGAAAAAACCAACCAACCAACCAACCAACCGAACAAACAAAAAUACAAGCAAGAUCAAAAGGACAAAUACUGCUCUAUCAUCUAUUAUUCUUACUGUUCUAGUGCAUCAGGAAAUAUCAAGGGACAUGGAAUUUAUGAGCCAAGAACCAUGGAUCAAAAUCAAAACGCAUAAGCCAGAACAGCAGACAGUUGAUUCCGCAGCUGAUUGUAGCUUCUUUCUCAUGUGGUAGUUGUUGCAUCCAGUGCUACAGAUUUUUCUUUUGUCAAUUUAUCCUCAGUGAGACUUCCGAGGAUCCCACGAAGCCUGGCUUGACAGUGCUUUCUGUGACAGCGAUUUUACAUCGAUCAAUCUGGGGACCCAGUGGGAAUCAGUGGCAGAAUUACCAGCGCAAGGCAAUUCCCAAUCUCCUUGGCCUGAAGCUGUUGCUCCGUAGAGGAACCAUCGCCCGACAUCCGAGAGACCAUGGACUCCACUCUCAGUACCGAGGAAACAAACAACCCGAGCAGGCCAGCAAGCCAAUAACUAAAAGCAUGGCUUCCUUUCUUUCCCAAGGAAGGCUGUAGAGACCAGCAGUCCUAGUCCCCAAGGAUCUAGAACCACA
rnacentral:lncRNA from 1 species